UUUAUCAAAGGAAAGAUAUACUUGCAUGGUAAAAGAACCAAUUAGUGACAUGGAUUAGAAUGAUGAUUCAUUUCCUAAAGAGUUAGAGAGUGAAUGUGAAUUUUUCAAACGAUUCUCGUACAGACAUUUUGUCAGAGACUGAACUCACUGGAUGUCUGUUUUCCGUUUCCCAUAAAAGUUUCUGUUACUUCUGUACGUGGUCUUCAAAAUGAGCUCCUAUAAACAUUUACGUGGAAGUGAAAAAAGAAAACGAAAAGCAGAUCGAGAUAAAGUGGCAAAACAAAUGAAAAGAUCGUUCGACAAAUUUUUAACUGUAGAUGGAGAACAAUUACAACAAUCGUCAUCAUUUUCACAAAUGUCACCUGCUCAAACUCCAGAAACAUCAUUUGUGUCCGAAACUAUGCUGCAAAAAGACCAGCAGGAAACCAAGCAAUUCCGUUUGUGAAGAUUAAACAAAAGGAGAAAAUAAAAAUUUAAAAUCAUCUCAAAGUAAUGAUGGAACUAAGAGUUUUGUAAAUGAUAUUGCAUUACGGCCAGAAUACUUAACAGACGCCAUUCGAGGGUAUUAUAUAAAAAAUCCACCAAAAUCAAUAAAUGGAUUUUUGGAAUCAUCUUCUAUUCGAUGCAACGAAGGGUCAAAACAAAUCACAAGAAAAUUAACUAUUGCCUCCUUCUUCAAAACAAUUAACAGCGGAGAAAAAGUUAAAAGAGAUUGAUUGGAUGGCUUAUACUGAAACCAACAACUUAUUGUACUGUUACGUCUGUAAAUUAUUUUUCAAGCAAACAUUGCUAAUGACAAAAGGGUCGAAUGAUUGGAAAAAUGUACAUAAAAAAUUGUCAGAGCAUGAAAACUCUAGUGACCACAUUAACUUCAUUUAAAUUUUUAUAACAAGAUCUAAAAUUACCGGACUCAUUGACACUGAACUGGAAAAAAACGAAUUAUAAAUGAAAAAAAAAAAAAAAAAAAAAAAAAAAAUAUUGGAGGGAAGUACUUAAACGUGUGGUAGACGACAAUCAAAUUUAUUUCUUCAUACUCUUUAGCGUUUCGUGGUAAAAAUGAAAUUUUUUUUAGUGAAAAUAAUGGUAAUUAUAUAGGUGCUUUGGAAUAUUUAUCCGUGUUCGAUCCAUUUUUGCGGGAACACAUGAAAAAAUAUGCAAACUGCAGCACCGGUACUAUAAACUAUUUAUCGUCUACAAUAUGUGAUGAAUUUAUUUCUAUUAUAUCGAAAGAUCUACAACUGACAAUAGUGAACGAAAUAAAGGAAGCCAAAUUUUACUCUCUAAUUAUUGAUUCAACACCUGAUAUAUCUCACGUAGAUCAGAUGACCGUCACUAUUCGCUAUGUUCUUCCAAGUGGUAUAAAAGAAAGAUUUUGGGGAUUUCUACCAAUAACUUGGAGAAAGUUAUUUUACAAUUUUUAAAUAAUAUAGAUUUAGACAUCACAAACUGUCGGGGACAGAGUUAUGAUAAUGCGUCUAAUAUGUCAGGUAAAUAUAAGGGACUCCAAUCCAGAAUAAAACAAUAUAUUUUUUCUGCCCAUUUUAUACCAUGCGCAAAUCAUUCAUUAAAUUUAAUUGGAAACGCUGCUGCCGAAAGUUGCAUGGAAAUGACCAUUUUUUUUUCAAUAUCGUUCAGGAAUUGUGCGUAUUUUUUUUCAAGUUCUAAACAUAGGUGGAAUGCAUUAUAAAAAAUUUGUAAGAGUACACUUGAGUAUUAAACCUAUUUGUGACACUAGGUGGUCUGGUCGUUCCGAUGCUGUGAAAUCCUUAAAGGAAAAUUAUGAAGAAAUUAAUUUUUUUACGUCAUUUUUCCUCAAACAAAGAUGAAAACCAUUAACAAUGUCCGAAGCUGCCGAUUUACAUAAAAAACUUGAUACAUUUGAGUAUGUACUGUUACUUACUUAAAAAAAAAAAAAAAAAAAAAAAAAAAAAAAAAGAUUUUAAGAGAGAAUAGAUGCUUCAAACAAGACUCUUCAACAAAAAGACGAAUCCAUAAAUACAGUAAUUUUAAUAUACGACUCAUUGAUAGAUUUCAUACAAAUUGUUAGAUGAUUUUGACAAAUUAGAAAAAGAAGCAGAAAAAGUUAAAGAUAUUCCAUACA